UUGCCCUAGCACUACACAGCUGACUGAAAUAACCAGCUAAUCAUCAAACUUAGAUUAUCUGCAUCAGCUGUGUAGUGCUAGGGCAAAAAACAAAACUUGGCCCCCGGGGGGGGGGUGCUUCGGAGCAUGGCUGGCUCUAGGACCCAGUGAGAGAGACACAAGGGGGUGUGGUGAUAUUUUUUUUUAUCUGACCACAGAACCUUCUAGCUUGCUGCUGCUGCCUCCUUGAACUGACGACAGCUCUGACAGUGCCUUGUGCCUCUCACCUGGCCCCUUGGAACAGAGACACCCCCAGCCACCCGGAACCUGACGGCGGGCCCCCUGUCCAUGGUCCCGUGGCCCUCUGUGUCCUGACAUGCCAGGCAGCAGCAGCACAUGUGUAGCCCCAGCAGCCCAGCCAUGGAGCAGCAAGCCUGGAUACUGAGGGGCUUCCUGGCUCAAGUGGAGAGCAAGGAGGCUGAGGAGGAGGAAGCGGAGAGUGGCUUCACAGGGGAGUUCUCGAGGCUCAAACUCCAGUCCACCAAGUACCGCACUGACAAAACCUACCCCACCAAAGUAGCGGAAAAGCAGGAGAAUGUGAAGAAGAACCGAUACAAGGACAUUGUUCCCUUUGACCACAGCAGAGUGAAGCUGUCCCUUACCACCUCCAAGAAUGACAAUGACUACAUCAAUGCCAGCUUCAUUAAGGGAGUGUCAGGGGCCAGGGCCUACAUUGCCACUCAGGGCCCUCUACCCCACACCGUGCUGGACUUCUGGAGGAUGCUCUGGGAGUACAACAUAGAGGUCAUAGUGAUGGCUUGCAGGGAGUAUGAGAUGGGCAGGAAAAAGUGUGAACGCUACUGGCCGGAGAAGCAAGAGGAGCCAUUUGUUUGUGACCCGUUUACUAUUUACUGCGACUCAGAGGAAAGUAAAGGAGACUACGUGAGCAGAAACUUGAGGGUGACCUAUCGUAAUUGGUGCCGGACCCUGAGACAGCUGCACUAUAUCAACUGGCCCGACCAUGGUGUCCCUGACACCAUCCCUCCCAUCCUGGAGCUGCUGCAGGAGAUGAGAUCCUACCAGGCCCAUGGGGAUGUGCCCAUCUGCAUACACUGCAGUGCUGGCUGUGGAAGAACAGGAGCACUGUGUGCCAUCGACUACACCUGGAACCUUGUGAAAACACAGCGGCUCAAAGAAGACUUCAGCAUCUAUGACUUGGUUCAGGACAUGCGAACACAGAGGCCUUCUGUGGUUCAGACCAAGGAACAGUACGAGCUGGUGUACAGAACCAUUAAGUUCCUGUUUGAGAAGUAUCUGCAGUCCAUGGCACCAGCACAGCCUUCCUGCACAGAGGUGGUGAGACAGACAGCAUGUUUUGACGGGGAACAGUUAUAUCAAGAUGAGGUGCCAGCGGCCCCCUCACCCCCUACAGCCAGUGACAGUGAGCUCUCUGACCUCAGCGAGGCGUCUGAAACUGAACAGGAACCAGAACCUGAGCCACAGCAUCAAAUAGAACCACAGACAGAGCACAGGCACCCAGAUAGGGAGGAGCCUGAUAGGAUAUCAAAUCACGUCUUACCAGUGGCCUUCUCUGCCUCAGCAGCGGUGCAUGAUGGUGACCCACUGUCUGACGCGGCUACGUGCUCCCCCUCAGUCAUCCUCAAUGACCUGAGAGCCAGGGACAGGCAGAGGGAACAGCAGAGACCAGACUCCCUACCAACACAGACUAUUAACCAGAAACCACAACCCCUACAGACACAGACUAAUAGCAUGCCCAUGAACCAGAGACCACCAUACCUACUACCGACAAAGCCCGAUACAUUGCCCACCAGCCAGGACCUGAGACAAGAGCCCAGUCUCAGCAUCCCCAUCAUAACCUCUCAGGCACUCAGGACUCAGGAAGUCUGUCAGAGAGCCAUGGAGCAAAAGAAGGUGGAGAGUGAUGGAGAGAUCACCCGACUGGUACCACCAGUGCUCUCUGCGGUUUCCAUCUCCAACCCCCUCUGUCUCACUGUGGAGGACCUCUACUUUUUACCUGACUCUUCAAUGACCUCACCCCUGGCUGCUGAGGCUCCCAGAGGGGCUGAUAAUGAGGAGGAGCUGGCUCCACUGAGCAAGUUGACAGAGAACCCCUGUUUCAAUGGUUCAAGUAUGACUCUUAACGACCAGUCGAUGGAACUGUCAGCCCUUGUCAUCACAAACGCUGCCCCAGGUGCGCUUGUAGCUUUCUCGGAUGAAGACAGUCCACCUCCAUUACCUGAGAGAACCCCUGAAUCAUAUGUACUGGCUGCUGGAACAGAGCGUCCUGAUAACAUCUCUAAACCUGAGAGGUUAGAGGUCAUCCUCCCUCCUAAUGCUGCAACUGAAGCCCUCAGGGGGAACGGGAAUCCUCCCUCGCCUAUCCCCCCACUGCCAGAGAGAACGCCAGAGUCCUUUGUGUUGGCCAAUACUGCCGGUAGGAGCACUACUGUCUUCCCAUCCCUCUCAAUCCCCGUGGAGAUGGUUGUCCAGAAGUCAGAAGAGAGAGAGUGGCCUGGACGUUCAGCGGACACUCCUGCUCUGGUGGAUACGAUAUCUUCGACGAGGAGUAAAAGCUUGAAAGUAAAAAUGACAACACUCUCAGUGUCACCCCAGGAUACAGUAUCACCCCCAGUUACAGUAUCACUCCCAGUUACAGUGCCACAACCCGUUACAUUGCCUCCCCCGGUUAGAUAUUCUAUUCCUGCUCCCUGUUCAUCAGUAAACCUUCCUCCUCCCCCUCCACCUCCCUAUCCUCUGGCCCCUUCUCUCUCACCUCCAGGCUCAGAGAAUCUGACUCCCCCUCUACCUGAGAGAACCCCAGAAUCCUUCUUCCUGGUCACUCAAGAAGUUGAUCAGAACAGUGCCCCCUGCAUGCAGAGUCAGAGCAACAGCCAGACUACAUCCACACAGCAGAGGAUCGGUACGUCCUCAGAGUGGGCAGGGAACUCCCAACCCAAAAGAUCCCUGGAUGGAAUCAUGAAUCGGAGCAACAGCCAGACUACAUCCACACAGCAGAGGAUCGGUACGUCCUCAGAGUGGGCAGGGAACUCCCAACCCAAAAGAUCCCUGGAUGGAAUCAUGAAUCGGAGAAAGAGUGUCCACGCAAAGAGUUCACUGCAAGAGCCCCUGACUACUGUUCCUCUGGUUGCUCAAGCUGUUGUGGCUAUGACUGUAGGAGGAAGUGCUGAAAUUAGGCUUCAGCAGCCUGUGUACAACAUCACCUCAACCAGCACUGGGACUACUGAAGACAAAUCAGACAAGAACAGUGGGAAGGCCUUGUCUGGUACAAAGGUAAUGACUGUAGCCUGAAGAAAUUUAAACUCAGACAGAAACCAGAGACUGCCCCUCCACCAGUACCAACCCACUCUGGACCAUCUCCUCCUUAUGGUACCUCUGCCUCAUCAUCAGUGUUCACAUUUGGAUUUGGGACUCGUUUUGGGAAGCCUAAAGGGCCAAGGAGUUAUCCUGAGACGUGGGUGUAAGACAGCCAGUCAACAAAGCUGGAUAUGUCUGGCCACUGUCCUCAGAUCACAGGGCUGGAACCCUGCAUGUGGCUACUAGCUACUGGCCACUCAACUGGACUAGGAAUGGUCCCUUGAGGACUUUUGACAUUGUGAAGGAAGAACAUCAUUCCAAGAAGACAUGGGGAAUCAUGUAGCCUUCUCCCUGUGUUCUGAGACGACAUGAACACUGUCUUGCAAACUGCUGUCACGGCCCAAUGAUCAACCUCGGAUUAGCUUUAAAUUGGAGCACCUGCUAUUCAUGACAAAUUGAUCGUACUGUAGUUCUUUAUCCGUGCCUGAAGGGAGAACUUGUGCCUCUGAAAUGUGGUGGAAGGAUGCAAUCAAAUGUAGGCAAAGGAUGGAUGGAUGGAAAGAACGGAAGGUUGAGUUGAUAAAUGUUAGAGGGCUACUUUUGUGUAUUUUGCCUGAUAAAUACAGUAAGGUACUUUGAAUAGUUGUUAACACGUCACUUAAUACAUGUUACCAAAUAGUUUUAUAUGCUGAUGUUUAUAUAGGCUCCUUCUGAUCCAGACAAAAUCUACAUGUACACCUGGACUGUACAGAGUGAUGAACUUUGUUUUAAGAGUAAUAUAUUUGUACUGGUAUUAUUUUUCAUGGUGGUGUGAGAUAAGUGUGAGAUAAGCGGACAGGUCUGUGUUGUGCAUACAUCACAUUCAUUGUUGUAACUUGGUGGAUGUGUUUUCUAUAUGGGCUAUAAUUUAAAAGUAAAGAAACCACAUAUUGCUCUAAAUUUA